rnacentral:tRNA from 1 species
GACCCUGUAGCUCAACUGGAUAGAGCGCUUGCCUACGAAGCAAGAGGUUGGCGGUUCGACCCCGCCCAGGGUCGCCA